rnacentral:rRNA from 1 species
UAAUGCCUACGGGGGGCAGCAGUGGGGAAUAUUGCACAAUGGGGGGAACCCUGAUGCAGCGACGCCGCGUGGGCGAUGGAGUAUUUCGGUAUGUAAAGCCCUAUCGGCAGGGAAGAAAAUGACAGUACCUGACUAAGAAGCCCCGGCUAACUACGUGCCAGCGGCCGCGGUAAUACGUAGGGGGCAAGCGUUAUCCGGAUUCACUGGGCGUAAAGGAUGCGUAGGCGGGUAAACAAGUU